rnacentral:rRNA from 1 species
CUGGCGGCAUGCUUUACACAUGCAAGUCGAACGGCAGCACAGGGAGCUUGCUCCCGGGUGGCGAGUGGCGCACGGGUGAGUAAUACAUCGGAACGUGUCCUGUUGUGGGGGAUAACUGCUCGAAAGGGUGGCUAAUACUGCAUGAGACCUGAGGGUGAAAGCGGGGGAUCGCAAGACCUCGCGCAAUUGGAGCGGCCGAUGCCCGAUUAGCUAGUUGGUGAGGUAAAGGCUCACCAAGGCGACGAUCGGUAGCUGGUCUGAGAGGAAGGCCCCCCACACUGGGACUGAGACACGGCCCAGACUCCUACGGGAGGCAGCAGUGAGGAAUAUUGGUCAAUGGGCGGAAGCCUGAACCAGCCAUGCCGCGUGAAGGACUAAGGCCCUACGGGUCGUAAACUUCUUUAGACGCAGAGCAAUAAGGUCCACGCGUGGACCGAUGAGAGUAUGCGUAGAAUAAGCAUCGGCUAACUCCGUG